AGUGAACGCUGGCGGUAGGCCUGACACAUGCAAGUCGAACGGCAGCACAGUAAGAGCUUGCUCUUACGGGUGGCGAGUGGCGGACGGGUGAGGAAUACAUCGGAAUCUACUUUUUCGUGGGGGAUAACGUAGGGAAACUUACGCUAAUACCGCAUACGACCUACGGGUGAAAGCAGGGGAUCUUCGGACCUUGCGCGAUUGAAUGAGCCGAUGUCGGAUUAGCUAGUUGGCGGGGUAAAGGCCCACCAAGGCGACGAUCCGUAGCUGGUCUGAGAGGAUGAUCAGCCACACUGGAACUGAGACACGGUCCAGACUCCUACGGGAGGCAGCAGUGGGGAAUAUUGGACAAUGGGCGCAAGCCUGAUACAGCCAUACCGCGUGGGUGAAGAAGGCCUUCGGGUUGUAAAGCCCUUUUGUUGGGAAAGAAAAGCAGCAGGUUAAUACCCCGCUGUUCUGACGGUACCCAAAGAAUAAGCACCGGCUAACUUCGUG
rnacentral:rRNA from 1 species